rnacentral:rRNA from 1 species
AUUAGCUAGUUGGUGGGGUAAGGGCUCACCAAGGCGACGAUACAUAGCCGACCUGAGAGGGUGAUCGGCCACACUGGGACUGAGACACGGCCCAGACUCCUACGGGAGGCAGCAGUAGGGAAUCUUCGGCAAUGGACGGAAGUCUGACCGAGCAACGCCGCGUGAGUGAAGAAGGUUUUCGGAUCGUAAAGCUCUGUUGUAAGAGAAGAACGAGUGUGAGAGUGGAAAGUUCACACUGUGACGGUAUCUUACCAGAAAGGGACGGCUAACUACGUGCCAGCAGCCGCGGUAAUACGUAGGUCCCGAGCGUUGUCCGGAUUUAUUGGGCGUAAAGCGAGCGCAGGCGGUUAGAUAAGUCUGAAGUUAA